rnacentral:lncRNA from 1 species
AGGACUUCUGGUCCCGCUUUCCAGCCACUAUCCUGUACUUCCUGUUGCAUCCCUGCUACCAGGAGCUGCACAGAGACUGCAUUUUCAACAAUAUCCACCUAUAAAUACUAAUGAAAGGUCUUUUUUCAGGCAAAAUUUAAUUCCACCUGUUUCUGCAUUGCAUCCCUGAGCUUAACUUUUUCAAAGUUUCAAAGGAAAACCAGGCAGAAUACUAAAAGAAAAAGAAGAUACUUCCACAGAGAGGAAGCACACAUUGGAGGUCCUAAGAGGAAGUAAUGAAUCAUCUUUCGGUAAAACAAGUCUUUGUAUUCUGGAUUUUAAUGAUAAAAGUAUUUUCCAAAAAGAAAA